rnacentral:rRNA from 1 species
AAACCAGCACCUCAAGUGGUCAGGAUGAUUAUUGGGCCUAAAGCAUCCGUAGCCUGCUUUGUCAGUUUUCGGUUAAAUCCAUACGCUCAACGUAUGGGCUGCCGGAAAUACUGCAAAGCUAGGGAGUGGGAGAGGUAGACGGUACUCGGGAGGAAGGGGUAAAAUCCUUUGAUCUCUCGAUGACCACCUGUGGCGAAGGCGGUCUGCCAGAACACGUCCGACGGUGAGGGAUGAAAGCUGGGGGAGCAAACCGGAUUAGAAACCCCGGUAGUCC